CUUACAUCGAGAGACUAAAGAACUUGUUGGACAGCAUGAAAAGUUUUUAUUUCAUGAGCGCUGUUUUCAUCAUGGCAGUGAGCUUAGCAAUACGAGCGGAAGAAGUGAAAUCAAACGCUACAGUUGUGAAGGAUCGGUACAGAGUGACCAACAGCAGCACGAGAGAUUGCCGAGGUCAUGUGUUCUGUGGUGAAUAUGGCAAAGAAGAUUGUAAAAGUGGGUGCCUAUGUUACACAGGCAAUGCAACGGAGCCUUUCGUGUGCAUUUCACCCACGGAAGCAGACUUCUACAAAACGUCAUCAAGAUAUUCCUGACAUCAUAAGAGAGGGCGCGUAAAGUUUGUGCUUUAGCCACGUAGAAAUUAUGUGUCCAUAAUAAACACUUAGUUCAUCUGGCACUUACCCAA
rnacentral:lncRNA from 1 species